UCCAGCCUGCCGCGUGCAGGAUGAAGGCCUUCGGGUUGUAAACUGCUUUUGUACGGAACGAAACGGCCUUUUCUAAUAAAGAGGGCUAAUGACGGUACCGUAAGAAUAAGCACCGGCUAACUACGUGCCAGCAGCCGCGGUAAUACGUAGGGUGCAAGCGUUAAUCGGAAUUACUGGGCGUAAAGCGUGCGCAGGCGGUAAUGUAAGACAGUUGUGAAAUCCCCGGGCUCAACCUGGGAACUGCAUCUGUGACUGCAUUGCUGGAGUACGGCAGAGGGGGAUGGAAUUCCGCGUGUAGCAGUGAAAUGCGUAGAUAUGCGGAGGAACACCGAUGGCGAAGGCAAUCCCCUGGGCCUGUACUGACGCUCAUGCACGAAAGCGUGGGGAGCAAACAGGAUUAGAUACCCUGGUAGUCCACGCCCUAAACGAUGUCAACUGGUUGUUGGGAAUUCACUUUCUCAGUAACGAAGCUACGCGUGAAGUUGACCCGCUGGG
rnacentral:rRNA from 1 species